rnacentral:tRNA from 1 species
GGGGAUGUGGCGAAAUUGGCAGACGCACUAGACUUAGGAUCUAGCGGGUAACACCAUGAGAGUUCAAGUCUCUCCGUCCCCACCA